rnacentral:tRNA from 2 species
GCCCUAGUAGCUCAGUGCC